rnacentral:rRNA from 1 species
AGAGCUUGAUCAUGGCUCAGAUUGAACGCUGGCGGCAGGCCUAACACAUGCAAGUCGAACGGUAACAGGAAACAGCUUGCUGUUUCGCUGACGAGUGGCGGACGGGUGAGUAAUGUCUGGGAAACUGCCUGAUGGAGGGGGAUAACUACUGGAAACGGUAGCUAAUACCGCAUAACGUCGCAAGACCAAAGAGGGGGACCUUCGGGCCUCUUGCCAUCAGAUGUGCCCAGAUGGGAUUAGCUAGUAGGUGGGGUAACGGCUCACCUAGGCGACGAUCCCUAGCUGGUCUGAGAGGAUGACCAGCCACACUGGAACUGAGACACGGUCCAGACUCCUACGGGAGGCAGCAGUGGGGAAUAUUGCACAAUGGGCGCAAGCCUGAUGCAGCCAUGCCGCGUGUAUGAAGAAGGCCUUCGGGUUGUAAAGUACUUUCAGCGGGGAGGAAGGGAGUAAAGUUAAUACCUUUGCUCAUUGACGUUACCCGCAGAAGAAGCACCGGCUAACUCCGUGCCAGCAGCCGCGGUAAUACGGAGGGUGCAAGCGUUAAUCGGAAUUACUGGGCGUAAAGCGCACGCAGGCGGUUUGUUAAGUCAGAUGUGAAAUCCCCGGGCUCAACCUGGGAACUGCAUCUGAUACUGGCAAGCUUGAGUCUCGUAGAGGGGGGUAGAAUUCCAGGUGUAGCGGUGAAAUGCGUAGAGAUCUGGAGGAAUACCGGUGGCGAAGGCGGCCCCCUGGACGAAGACUGACGCUCAGGUGCGAAAGCGUGGGGAGCAAACAGGAUUAGUUACCCUGGUAGUCCACGCCGUAAACGAUGUCGACUUGGAGGUUGUGCCCUUGAGGCGUGGCUUCCGGAGCUAACGCGUUAAGUCGACCGCCUGGGGAGUACGGCCGCAAGGUUAAAACUCAAAUGAAUUGACGGGGGCCCGCACAAGCGGUGGAGCAUGUGGUUUAAUUCGAUGCAACGCGAAGAACCUUACCUGGUCUUGACAUCCACGGAAGUUUUCAGAGAUGAGAAUGUGCCUUCGGGAACCGUGAGACAGGUGCUGCAUGGCUGUCGUCAGCUCGUGUUGUGAAAUGUUGGGUUAAGUCCCGCGACGAGCGCAACCCUUAUCCUUUGUUGCCAGCGGUCCGGCCGGGAACUCAAAGGAGACUGCCAGUGAUAAACUGGAGGAAGGUGGGGAUGACGUCAAGUCAUCAUGGCCCUUACGACCAGGGCUACACACGUGCUACAAUGGCGCAUACAAAGAGAAGCGACCUCGCGAGAGCAAGCGGACCUCAUAAAGUGCGUCGUAGUCCGGAUUGGAGUCUGCAACUCGACUCCAUGAAGUCGGAAUCGCUAGUAAUCGUGGAUCAGAAUGCCACGGUGAAUACGUUCCCGGGCCUUGUACACACCGCCCGUCACACCAUGGGAGUGGGUUGCAAAAGAAGUAGGUAGCUUAACCUUCGGGAGGGCGCUUACCACUUUGUGAUUCAUGACUGGGGUGAAGUCGGAACAAGGUAACCGUAGGGGAACCUGCGGUUG